AAAACCCCUUUCAAUCUUAAGUCCAGUGCACAAUAUUUGAUUUCUUCUAACUAGCACAACUUUUCUUCCAAUUCAACCCGCAAAGCUUUUCUUUCUCUUCACCGCUUAGUUUCUUCCAAUCUCAGUCUCUCGUCCCGCAGAGCAUUUUUUUGUCUCAUCUCUUCGUCUCCUUCUCCAUCACAGACGAGGGUUCACGUUCACUACCUUUUGCGCUUCACUUCUCUAUAUCUCCUCGUUGAUGUUUUCUUGAACUCAUGUUUUCAACAAAGAUGUUUGAGAUUCUUCAUAUCCAGGGUGGGCAAUGCGGGAACCAGAUCGGAGCAAAGUUCUGGGAGGUGGUGUGUGCGGAGCACGAGAUUGAUUCAACGGGAAGGUACCAGGGAAACAAUGAGUUGCAGCUGGAGCGAGUGAACGUGUGUUAUAAUGAGGCGAGUUGCAGGAGAUUUGUCCCUAGGGCGGUGCUCAUGGAUCUGGAGCCAGGGACCAUGGACAGCGUUAGCUCUAGACCCUACGGCCAGAUUUUUCGCCCAGAUAACUUCGUCUUCGGACAGUCCAGUGCCGAAAACAACUGGGCCAAUGGUCACUAUGCCGAGGAGGCUGAGUUAAUUGACUCCAUUCUUGAUGUUGUUAGGAAAGAGGCUGAAAGUUGUGACUGCCUUCAAGUUGCUUGUGCCAAUUGGAUGAAGUGGAUCUUCUAGAUUUGCCAACUCCUACAAUUGUUAAGCCUAUUGAGCUUUGGAGUGGUAAGCAGCUAUUUAACCUUAUAUUGUGGCCACAUGCAAAUGUGGGAGUCUGUGUGGAUCUUACUGUUAAGGAAAAAAUAUACACGAAGUUGCUGGAUGAGUAGAAAAGAGAAUUGAAAACAUUGUGCCCGAAUGAUGGCUUUAUUUACAUUAGUAGUAGUGAGUUGAUCUGUGGGCAAUUUGGAAAGGUUACUUUAGGUUAGUCACAUAUUGUAGUUUAACCAUUAAUGUUUUUGCUUGGUUUUUGUUCAUGUCUUAUACAUUGUUUUGCAAGUGGCCAGGAAAUGGUAAUACAGACAGACUGUUAUCUCUGAUAGUGAGAGACUGCGAAGCACAAGCAACCGCGUCUUGCUUGAAUCGUUUAGCUAAAGUGAGAUGUCGUGCGCCAUGGAUCUUGGGUGGCUAGAUAGGCAUUGAUGAUUUUAAACCAAAUGAGAUGGUGAUUAAGAAGAGAGAGGAAAUACUUUCAGAGGCUUAUAGGAAAUGUGAUGAAUGCGUAAAAGCUUUCAAUAAAGGAAAACUAGAACUCAUACUUGGUUGUGGUGCUGCUCAAACAUUAGAGACCCGGAUAACUCAAGUAUUAAACGGAAUUGGUGAUGUGAUCGGGAAAAUUAGUUUUAGUUUUGCCAAGAUAUUAAAGAUUGUUAUGCUCGUGUUCCUGUGUCUAGUGAGGAGGUUCAAAUAGUGAGGAGGUUCAAACCCCAAAGAAUUUUAUCAUUUGGUCAUCUAGAUUGGCAAAGCCAAUUUUAGAUAUUUCUAAGAAGACAAACAUUGUUACACCUUUACAACCACAAUUGUCUCCUUUACAACAACUUGGUGCAGCGGUAGUGACAAUGGGGAAUAAAACUAUUGAGAUAGAUAUGCUUCCUGAACUGACAUACAAGACUGCUACCACCACUUUAUUUGUAUGUCAUAGGGAUAUUUGUGAAAUUAUAGAAACUUGACUACAAUGUAGUGUAAUUUAAUGUUAUAUUUGGAUUUAAUAUAUGGUUUGAUGUACAAAUUAUGUAUUAAAUAUUA